AGAUCCCAGGAGAUUGAUCAGGUUCAACAGCAGACAUCUUCUGAGACAAGGUUACUUCUGGAAAACAAGGCGAAAGACCGGAGAAUAAUGAGCCAAAGAAUAAAUGAUGCAGAAUGGCUUCAAAGAACAAGAUCUGAUCUUAAAGAAAAGGACAGAGAAAUUGAAGCCUUGCAGCAAAG